rnacentral:lncRNA from 1 species
CAAAAAUCAGAGCAACAAGAUAGAAGGAGGUGGAGCCUCAGUUUCCUCAUCUGUAAAAUGGGAGAGUAAUGAUACCUAUGUUCUAUGGUUCCUGUAAAUUAGGAUUCUUCCAUCUCUGAAGUGACGGAAAAUUCAACCCCAACUGUCCAAGGCAAAGGGAGAUUUACUGGCUCAGAAACUUUUAUUUGAAAGAAAAAUAUAUCAGUGGAGUAGAUGGAGAACCACCAAGUCUUGCUGCAAAAGGAUGGUAACCACAGAAAUAAAGCAACAAACCUAAAUGCAGGUCUGCCUUCGGCACCCAGCCUGGGGCUUGUUCGUUCUUUGUUCCGAAGGAUGAUGAGCGAGGCUUAGAGAGGCAGUAAAGGCGUCUUGGCACCGAAUGAAGAUGGACAUAAUUGGAGGAGGGACCCCUCAGCCAGCUCAGGGAAACGGCUGCAGCCCCACUGUCUCCUGUGAAGUGCCCCGGAUUGGAUUUCCGAGGCCCCCCCGGCCCCGAGGACCACUCUGAGGCUCAGGCCAGGGACCUCAUUCCGCCCACACGCCGCUGCUGCCCGGAUGGAAUCCAUCGACUCCCGUAUAUCAACACCUCCCCUGAAACAUGAAGGAUGCGACGGUUUCAAUGAUUGAUUUAUUUCAAGCCACCAGUCGUGGCGGAGACAUCAAUAGGCUCGUGUUAGGAUUCCCCCUAAUUUUUCAGGCUUUCCAAAGGACAGCUUGAAAUAUCUCAGCAUGAAUCGAGCCAAUGUAGAGAGGAGGCCUGAGGGGAUGAUCAGGUCAGCACCUGCCACCCCCCCCCCCACCCCCCCGACGUGGGCUCUCCAGGGCACAGGCCAGGUGUCCUUAACCCAACUCUAUGUGGUGACUAUGAAUGGAGCAGCUUUACCGCAUCGAGUCCUGUUAUAGCCCCAGGGACACAGUGAGGAAAACGAUGUGGCCUUGACCUUCGAGGAGCUCACGGUCCAGUGAGGGGUUUGGGUUGUGCACAGAAAGGCUUAACACCCCUGAUUAUGGCUUAAUAUAAAGAGCAGGUGAAGGUGAGCUGGGGAACACAUAGCAGAGAGAGAAUAUUCGAUGUUUAAAUAUUUUUCACAAAUCACUC